rnacentral:rRNA from 1 species
UGUGUGUUAGUGGAAGCGUCUGGAAAGGCGCGCGAUACAGGGUGACAGCCCCGUACACAAAAAUGCACAUGCUGUGAGCUCGAUGAGUAGGGCGGGACACGUGGUAUCCUGUCUGAAUAUGGGGGGACCAUCCUCCAAGGCUAAAUACUCCUGACUGACCGAUAGUGAACCAGUACCGUGAGGGAAAGGCGAAAAGAACCCCGGCGAGGGGAGUGAAAAAGAACCUGAAACCGUGUACGUACAAGCAGUGGGAGCACGCUUAGGCGUGUGACUGCGUACCUUUUGUAUAAUGGGUCAGCGACUUAUAUUCUGUAGCAAGGUUAACCGAAUAGGGGAGCCGAAGGGAAACCGAGUCUUAACUGGGCGUUAAGUUGCAGGGUAUAGACCCGAAACCCGGUGAUCUAGCCAUGGGCAGGUUGAAGGUUGGGUAACACUAACUGGAGGACCGAACCGACUAAUGUUGAAAAAUUAGCGGAUGACUUGUGGCUGGGGGUGAAAGGCCAAUCAAACCGGGAGAUAGCUGGUUCUCCCCGAAAGCUAUUUAGGUAGCGCCUCGUGAAUUCAUCUCCGGGGGUAGAGCACUGUUUCGGCAAGGGGGUCAUCCCGACUUACCAACCCGAUGCAAACUGCGAAUACCGGAGAAUGUUAUCACGGGAGACACACGGCGGGUGCUAACGUCCGUCGUGAAGAGGGAAACAACCCAGACCGCCAGCUAAGGUCCCAAAGUCAUGGUUAAGUGGGAAACGAUGUGGGAAGGCCCAGACAGCCAGGAUGUUGGCUUAGAAGCAGCCAUCAUUUAAAGAAAGCGUAAUAGCUCACUGGUCGAGUCGGCCUGCGCGGAAGAUGUAACGGGGCUAAACCAUGCACCGAAGCUGCGGCAGCGACACUAUGUGUUGUUGGGUAGGGGAGCGUUCUGUAAGCCUGUGAAGGUGUGCUGUGAGGCAUGCUGGAGGUAUCAGAAGUGCGAAUGCUGACAUAAGUAACGAUAAAGCGGGUGAAAAGCCCGCUCGCCGGAAGACCAAGGGUUCCUGUCCAACGUUAAUCGGGGCAGGGUGAGUCGACCCCUAAGGCGAGGCCGAAAGGCGUAGUCGAUGGGAAACAGGUUAAUAUUCCUGUACUUGGUGUUACUGCGAAGGGGGGACGGAGAAGGCUAUGUUGGCCGGGCGACGGUUGUCCCGGUUUAAGCGUGUAGGCUGGUUUUCCAGGCAAAUCCGGAAAAUCAAGGCUGAGGCGUGAUGACGAGGCACUACGGUGCUGAAGCAACAAAUGCCCUGCU